rnacentral:rRNA from 1 species
ACGGGUGAGUAACGCGUGGGAAUUUGCCCUAUAGAGGGGGACAACCCGAGGAAACUCAGGCUAAUACCGCAUAAUACUCUUCGGAGGAAAGGCUGGGUGGUAACACCUGGCGCUAUAGGAGAAGCCUGCGUCUGAUUAGCUAGUUGGUAGGGUAAAGCCUACCAAGGCGAUGAUCGGUAGCUGGUCUGAGAGGAUGAUCAGCCACACUGGGACUGAGACACGGCCCAGACUCCUACGGGAGGCAGCAGUGGGGAAUAUUGGACAAUGGGGGCAACCCUGAUCCAGCAAUGCCGCGUGUGUGAAGAAGGCCUUCGGGUUGUAAAGCACUUUAGUUGGGGAGGAAGUUAUGGAGUUUAAGAGAUACCAUAAUUGACUGUACCCAAAGAAUAAGCACCGGCUAACUCUGUGCCAGCAGCCGCGGUAAUACAGAGGGUGCAAGCGCUAAUCGGAGUUACUGGGCGUAAAGGGCGCGUAGGCGGUCAAUUAAGUUGGAUGUGAAAUCCCUGGGCUUAACCUAGGAACUGCAUACAAUACUGAAUGACUAGAGUACUGUAGAGGGUAGUGGAAUUUCCGGUG